GGGGGCGUAGCUCAGUUUGGGAGAGCGCAGGAUUUGCAUUCCUGAGGUCAGGGGUUCGAUCCCCCUCGCCUCCACCA
rnacentral:tRNA from 1 species